rnacentral:lncRNA from 1 species
AAGUAGAAACCUAAAAAAUCAACGAUUACAGAGGAAAAACCCAACAAAAUGAGAAACCCUAGAUUUUUCAGGUAACAGAGAAACUCGGAUGAAAGUUGAUGAGGGUAACAUCGCGAGGAAGCGGGUGACGAGUAGAAUCGGAAUCGCUGCUCUGAUACCAUGUGAAAACAUCGAAUCCCAUGGAUUAAUCGAGAUUUAUGUUGAGAGAUUGAAGAGAUGAUGAGAGAGAGAAUCGACUAUCCAUCUCUAUUUCUGUAUAUCUAUCUAUUUU